GACGAACGCUGGCGGCGUGCCUAAUACAUGCAAGUAGAACGCUGAAGGAGGAGCUUGCUCUUCUGGACGAGUUGCGAACGGGUGAGUAACGCGUAGGUAACCUGCCUGGUAGCGGGGGAUAACUAUUGGAAACGAUAGCUAAUACCGCAUAACAGUAGAUGUUGCAUGACAUUUUCUUAAAAGGUGCAAUUGCACCACUACCAGAUGGACCUGCGUUGUAUUAGCUAGUUGGUGGGGUAACGGCUCACCAAGGCGACGAUACAUAGCCGACCUGAGAGGGUGGUCGGCCACACUGGGACUGAGACACGGCCCAGACUCCUACGGGAGGCAGCAGUAGGGAAUCUUCGGCAAUGGACGGAAGUCUGGCCGAGCAACGCCGCGUGAGUGAAGAAGGUUUUCGGAUCGUAAAGCUCUGUUGUAAGAGAAGAACGAGUGUGAGAGUGGAAAGUUCACACUGUGACGGUAUCUUACCAGAAAGGGACGGCUAACUACGUG
rnacentral:rRNA from 1 species